rnacentral:rRNA from 1 species
CUCAGAACGAACGCUGGCGGCGCGUUUAAGCAUGCAAGUCGAGCGGCAAGGGCCUUCGGGCCCCUAGAGCGGCGGACGGGUGAGUAACACGUGGACAAUCUGCCCCCCGGCCCGGGAUAGCCCAGGGAAACCUGGAUUAAUACCGGAUGAGACGGGACCCGCGAUGGCGGGAUCCGGGAAAGGCGCUGCGGCGCCGCCGGGGGAUGAGUCUGCGUCCCAUUAGCUAGACGCGGGGUAACGGCCCACCGUGGCGACGAUGGGUAGCCGGCCUGAGAGGGUGACGGCCACAUUGGAACUGAGACACGGUCCAGACUCCUACGGGAGGCAGCAGCUAAGAAUCUUCCGCAAUGGGCGAAAGCCUGAACCGGAGCGACGCCGCGUGAACGAAGAAGGCCGUGAGGUUGUAAAGUUCUUUUCGGGAGGGGAACAACCGUGGCGGGGAAUGGCCGCGGGAUGACGUGAAUCCCGGAAUAAGCCCCGGCUAACUACGUGCCAGCCGCCGC